AAAGUUGAAAACUUUUUGCAAAGAGAUAUUCCAUUGGUGGAACCAUACAUGCCUUUGAAGAAUGGUUUGCAAAGGUGAGGGCUUAAAAGAGAUAUUCCAUUGGUGGAACCAUACAUGCCUUUGAAGAAUGGUUUGCAAAGGUGAGGGCUUUCUGAGAAAGGGGUUUGUAAUAGAAUAUAUUUGGAGAAAAGAAACACCAUGCCACCAUGCCUGUGAUGCUUGACGAUUUCAGAAAUUGGAACUUAUUAUUUUAUUAAUUUUUUUUUGGGGACCAAAAUCAGGGUAUGACAACAGGCUACCAACAUUAAAACACCGGCAAUUCAAGUGUAAACCGCAGCUGAGCCAAGACUACAAACAAGCCGCAUUCAAGCUAGAAGCGAAACGCAGGUCCAAGUGCG
rnacentral:lncRNA from 1 species